rnacentral:ncRNA from 1 species
AACGGCAGAGAUAAAAACGCAACGCGCCUCCCCCUUUGGGGACUGUGCCAGAGCCGGUAGGUAGCCCGGCCGUCUCGUUUAUCAAACGAGGUAAGUAACCCUCCCCUCCGGGUCGUCCGUUCCCUGUCCUUGGCAA